GUUCAGAUGGUGUAAUGGCUAACACAAUGAUAUUGAGUAUGUUUCCCGGUGAGGUCAAUUCCUCAAUUUUCAUCAGUUUCAUAGAUGAGGGUUCGAAUCCUUCUCUGGACU